ACAGGCUUAACACAUGCAAGUCGAGGGGCAGCAUCAUCAAAGCUUGCUUUGAUGGAUGGCGACCGGCGCACGGGUGAGUAACACGUAUCCAACCUGCCGACAACACUGGGAUAGCCUUUCGAAAGAAAGAUUAAUACCGGAUGGCAUAAUUAUUCCGCAUGGGAUAAUUAUUAAAGAAUUUCGGUUGUCGAUGGGGAUGCGUUCCAUUAGGCAGUUGGCGGGGUAACGGCCCACCAAACCUACGAUGGAUAGGGGUUCUGAGAGGAAGGUCCCCCACAUUGGAACUGAGACACGGUCCAAACUCCUACGGGAGGCAGCAGUGAGGAAUAUUGGUCAAUGGACGAGAGUCUGAACCAGCCAAGUAGCGUGAAGGAUGACUGCCCUAUGGGUUGUAAACUUCUUUUAUACGGGAAUAAAGUGAGCCACGUGUGGCUUUUUGUAUGUACCGUAUGAAUAAGGAUCGGCUAACUCCGUGCCAGCAGCCGCGGUAAUACGGAGGAUCCGAGCGUUAUCCGGAUUUAUUGGGUUUAAAGAGAGCGUAGGCGGGUUGUUAAGUCAGUUGUGAAAGUUUGCGGCUCAACCGUAAAAUUGCAGUUGAUACUGGCGACCUUGAGUGCAACAGAGGUAGGCGGAAUUCGUGGUGUAGCGGUGAAAUGCUUAGAUAUCACGAAGAACUCCGAUUGCGAAGGCAGCUUACUGGAUUGUAACUGACGCUGAUGCUCGAAAGUGUGGGUAUCAAACAGGAUUAGAUACCCUGGUAGUCCACACAGUAAACGAUGAAUACUCGCUGUUGGCGAUAUACAGUCAGCGGCCAAGCGAAAGCAUUAAGUAUUCCACCUGGGGAGUACGCCGGCAACGGUGAAACUCAAAGGAAUUGACGGGGGCCCGCACAAGCGGAGGAACAUGUGGUUUAAUUCGAUGAUACGCGAGGAACCUUACCCGGGCUUAAAUUGCAGAUGAAUUACGGUGAAAGCCGUAAGCCGCAAGGCAUCUGUGAAGGUGCUGCAUGGUUGUCGUCAGCUCGUGCCGUGAGGUGUCGGCUUAAGUGCCAUAACGAGCGCAACCCUUGUUGUCAGUUACUAACAGGUUCCGCUGAGGACUCUGACAAGACUGCCAUCGUAAGAUGUGAGGAAGGUGGGGAUGACGUCAAAUCAGCACGGCCCUUACGUCCGGGGCUACACACGUGUUACAAUGGGGGGUACAGAGGGCCGCUACCACGCGAGUGGAUGCCAAUCCCCAAAACCUCUCUCAGUUCGGACUGGAGUCUGCAACCCGACUCCACGAAGCUGGAUUCGCUAGUAAUCGCGCAUCAGCCACGGCGCGGUGAAUACGUUCCCGGGCCUUGUACACACCGCCCGUCAAGCCAUGGGAGCCGGGGGUACCUGAAGUGCGUAACCGCGAGGAGCGCCCUAGGGUAAAACUGGUGACUGGGGCUAAGU
rnacentral:rRNA from 1 species